AACGAACGCUGGCGGCGUGCCUAAGACAUGCAAGUCGUGCGAGAAAGCUCCUUCGGGAGUAAGUACAGCGGCGCACGGGUGAGUAACGCGUGGGUAACCUACCUCCAGGUUUGGGAUAACUCGGGGAAACCUGAGCUAAAACCGAAUAAGCCCACGAGGUCUUCGGACCACGUGGGAAAAGGUGGCCUCUCCUUGGAAGCUAUCGCCCGGAGAUGAGCCCGCGUCCCAUUAGCUUGUUGGUGAGGUAACGGCUCACCAAGGCUGUGAUGGGUAGCUGGUCUGAGAGGACGAUCAGCCACACUGGAACUGAGACACGGGCCAGACUCCUACGGGAGGCAGCAGUAAGGAAUCUUGCGCAAUGGGCGAAAGCCUGACGCAGCGAUGCCGCGUGGGCGAUGAAGGCCUUCGGGUCGUAAAGCCCUUUUCUGGGGGAAGAGGAAGGACGGUACCUCAGGAAUAAGCCCCGGCUAACUACGUG
rnacentral:rRNA from 1 species